UACGUAGGUGGCAAGCGUUGUCCGGAUUUACUGGGCGUAAAGGGCGUGCAGGCGGUCUGUUAAGUGCAGGGUGAAAGCUCCCGGCUCAACUGGGAGAGGUCCUUGCAUACUGGCGGACUUGAGGGGGGUAGAGGAAAGUGGAAUUCCCGGUGUAGUGGUGAUAUGCGUAGAUAUCGGGAGGAACACCUGUGGCGAAGGCGGCUUUCUGGGCCCUACCUGACGCUGAGGCGCGACAGCGUGGGGAGCAAACAGG
rnacentral:rRNA from 1 species